CUCACACUGCACUAGUGUUAGUUGAUCGCACAACUGCAGCUGCUUGAUCUUUGCCUCUCGCUCGUUGCAUAUCGCGCUCACACUGCACUAGUGUUAGUUGAUCGCCUCGCCCGUUGUAUUGGAGAGGUUGGUGAGCACCAUAUCUAUCUAUUCUUCUAUCUAUCAGUACCUAAUUUGUUUAUGCAAAUCAGCAAAUAAAUAACAGUGAACAACAGUGGCGGAGCCCCGUAAAAUUAAUAUCCCGGGCCACUUUACAAUGUAAUGAUGUACUACUCUGUCUUUAUAUUUUUCGCGCUUUAGUUCAAAAAAUGAGCCAGACGAUAAAUAUUAAGCAGAUGGCCAGUUUUAAUUUGGUUAUGUUCGAAAACUAAUCAUGACAUGCCAAUCAAAUUUUAGUUGGAUGCAUAUAUGCUAGGACAUCUGAAGAUCAUAUGUACCAAAAAGUUUGGCCAAUUUCUCACAAGCACAUAGAUUCGGCCGUUGGAUAAAAUUUGAGAAAACCCCAUUUUGUCUGAUUGAUUCUCAUAUCUGGAUUGUUGCAAGUUGUUCUAGGCAUUGGUGCUUUGAGAAAAACAUCCCAAGUAAUUAGUGUGCAAAGUUUGAGAUCAACUGGAUUUAACUUGAUGUAGUUUUGAUCUUUAGAUCAAUUUUAAGGUGCGGAUGGUCCGGUAUGGUUAAAAUAUAUUAUAGUGGUCUGAUAUGAAGACCUUUGAAUUUUGAGCUGAUUUUUGGUGAGCAGCUUCCUUAUGUUCUUGUGAGUAUAUAUAUGGUUCGUAGUUUAUGAUUUGUAGACACCAUUUGAUAGGGUUUUGAGAUUUUUACCUAAAACUGCUCACGCUGAAAGCUGCUGGGUUGAUUUGUCAUACCGGCCAGGAGGUCUGAUAUAUAAAUGCCCCAAUGAGGUCUAUUUUACUCAGCAUUUUGUGACACUUUUACUGAUUCUUCUCCUUCUCACUUCUGUCCUUUUCUGCUGUGCUUUUUUAAUAUUAUUGAUUACAUUUCGCCAAAAGUUAGCAUCAGUAUACUCAUUGUCCUUUUUGUAUGUAACUGCUCGUGAUUAAAUAAAAAAUGUAAGCCAAAAUCACCUAGAGUGAAUAUCUGUUGGCUCUUAUUCAACUUGUUUGAUCGCCUCGUCGGUCCAAUCCUUAGAACGAAUUAACUUGCAGGUACCUCCGUGUCAUCGUCAUCUCUGUUACUACUGCCAUCCUCACAUUUUUGGGAUUGAUAGUAUUUUUGAGCCUAAAGUUUACACAGUGUUGGCACAAUAUGGAGGUCAUUGUCAUCACAAUGGUGCUAUUUUUCAUCAUGUGUGGAGUCUCACUAAUGUCCAAGGCUAACAAAUUUUUCAUGGAGCCUAAACUAAUUGGUGGGUACGCUACUUUGAUAUGCCUACUAGCGGUUACAAGGAUGCGACAUGAAACGCAAAGCAGGUCCAGGUGCUGGUUGGUUAAUCAUUUCCGUAAGUAUAUAUUCUCUAUUUCGAUCCAAGGUCGAUGCUUCUUAUCUAGUACCACGAGUGAUAUUUAAAAAAAUCAUUUCGUUGACCUUUAUUUUGACACUUGCGGUUUUUUUGUUUCUGGACUCCUUGGCACUGUUUAUUCUGCUUUUACUAUGGGCACCGACUACAAAUGUGUAUGUUGAUUGUUCACUCGAUCCAACUCAACAAUUUAAUCAUAUCUAUUAACGAAAUUGAGGAUUGUGUGCUUUAUAAAUUCAAAAUGUCUCAAAUAAUUCUGGCAGGAACGAAACACGUUGGAGUCGGAAGACAAUGUACCAUAUGGGUACGAUUUUUUUUUAUUUCAUCUUCACAUCGGGCUGCAUGUACUUUGGAAUGAUGUUUGUUGCCUAGGACACACAUCAUACCAUGGAAGAAUGGAGCGUAGAUAUUGGGUGGAUCAGCACAUGGGUCCAUAUCGCUAGCGAGGCUCUGGUGGUAGUAUCCUACUAUAAGUGAGCUAUUGUGGCUAAGAAUUUCAACCUAACCUUACCGAGCUCAUCAAACAAUCAUCAAAUGGUUGGACACAUACAAGACAACAUGCAUGCAUUAAUAUUUGUCUUUACGCUACAAACAAAACCAACUACAUGUAAUAGCAUUACAUAUGUUGUGUGUAUUAUGCUGGCUUAUAUUAAUGUUUGCAUUUACAGUAACGAUAUUGUUGGUCAGAAUUUUGGGAGUAGGCUGGCUCCAACACUUCCUCGCAAAGAUCUUUGGAACAGAUGAUCAGCUGUACGACGAUGAAUCCCAUACGACGACCGUGCAUGGUGAUGAAUCCCAGACGACGACUACUAAUGGUGAUGAAUCACAGACGACGAACACGCAUGUCACAUCGCCGUCCUCUUUGUAUCACACAGCGUCGUCCUCUUCGCUCUACUACUCCCCCGAGCAAUCACCGACCAAUAACACCGACCAUCAACCUCCUCCGCCGCCACCGCCUUCACCGUCCUCCGUCACACCAUAGAACUGCAAAUGUCCGAGGUACCAAACAUCGGUACCUCUGGCAUGAAUGAAGAGGAGGACGACGAUGACUAUAUUAGAGAAUGGGAGAGUGAAUAAUUGGUCGAUCCAUAAUUAACAACUUGUAUUUCGACAUCGUAGGCAUAUUAAUCAGGUCUAAGAUAUGGUGUAAUAUAGACGUGCCUACGUUGGAGACACGUUUGUUAUAUAGAUCUGUUUGACUUG